CUAGCAUUCUCUUCCCUUCCACAUUUUGGAGGCAACGCCCUGCAUCACGGUCCUCAAAUACACCCUCACCUUCUAUCCUCACAUGGAAAAGUCUGUCUGCAGGUAUCUCUACUGCUUCCUCCCUCUUUUCCUUUAGAUCUCUGCUUAAAUGUCACCUCAACAGACAGGUCUCUACUGAGACCCACUACCAUUCACAUCUCAUUGUUAUGUCUGAUAGUAUAUUAUGUAUUUGUCUUACAUAUUAUAUAAUAUUUAUUUAUAUACAUUUGUUGUUACUCUCAUUAUUUCUCAUCACAAGAUGAAAUAUGGGUUUUAACUGUUUUCAAUAUCAGACACAUAGUUGGUACCCAAUAAAUAUUUGUUGAAUAAAUUAAUGAAGAUUUGAUGAAAUAACUCAAUGUCAUUCUAUUUUCCCAGAAUAUAUUACCUUAACACAUGUAACAUUCUCUACAAGCUAUGAAUGUAAUAUAACCAAUCUAUUUUUUUUUCUUUUCUAUAAUCUUAAACUAUGAAGCUCAGUAAAAGCCAUUUGAAGGUUUUGAGUAUUAUUAUAUGUAAGUUUAGUACUAUUUUGAGUAUAAAACCUAGAUUGAUUUUUCUUUCAGAAUUUUACAGGUAAUAGUCUAUGUUCGUUUAUAUUAAUAAGUCAGGAAUCAGCCUAUUUUUUUCUUUAUUUUAGUGUAAUCUCUCUAGUCUAUCACUGAACUUAUACUUUAUCUUUAAUUUUCUACAGUUUAACUCUGAAAGUCUCAAAAGUAGGUCAACUUAUUCCUCUUAUUUUAUUUGAGUUUGAAAGUCUUCUUGAAUCUCUAGUUUGAUGUAUUUUACCAUUUUGAAAAAGAUAGCCAUCAUCUAUGUAAAUAUCUCCUCUGUUUCAUUCCCUCAUUUAUUUCCUUCUAGAAACUUAAUUACACUAAAUUAAAAUGUUACUCUAUCCUUUUUUUCUCCAACCUUUUCUUCUGUAUUUUUCAUUUUUUUUUAUCUGUUUUUCAUCCUGAAGGUGUUUUUCCUACCUAUAUUCCACUAAUUAUAUCUUCACUUGUCCUUAAUCUACUUUUGAAUAUACUCAGUUAAGAUCUUAAUUUUUAAUAUGAUUUUAGCUCCCAAAUAUUUUUGUUUACUCUUUCAGUUCUGCUUUUUGGUUUUGUUUUGUUUUGUUUCUUUUUAGGGCCAUACCCACGGCAUAUGGAGGUUCGCAGGCUACAGGUUGAAUUGGAGCUGCAGCUGCAGGCCUACACCAUAGCCACAGCAACACAGGAUCUGGGCCACAUUUGCGACCUAUACCACAGUUCACAGCAAUGUUGGAUCCUUAACCCAUUGAGUGAGGCCAGAGAUUGAACCUGCAUCCUCAUGGAUACUAGAUGGAUUCAUUAAUCACUGAGCCAUGACAGGAACUCCUGCUCUGCUAACUUUAAAAAACAGUUUCCAGCUAACUACUGAAAUUCCCUAUAUCUUGUUCUUUCUCUCCUUGAAUAGAAAAGCAUAAUUAUUUUAAACUAUCUCAGAACUGCAAUUACAAUAUCUCAACCCCCUAAAAGUCUGUUUCUAUUUUCUCUUGUUAUGUCUAAUUUUCAUUCAUGAUAUCUCAUAGCAUUAUGUGUAUAGUUAUGUUUUAUUGCAUGCUAAACACUGGAUAUGAAAAAUUGCUUUUAGAAAUAAUCUGAGGCCUAGAAUGAGGUUAUAUCUCUCCAUAGAGAAUAUUUAUUUGUUUUGCCAGGUUCUUGGGAACACUAGCAAUCUGGGAUAACAAUAAUUUAACUUCUGGUGUUAGAUGAUUUGGUUUUACGUUUCAGUUCCUAUGAGGACAAUACUAUUUAUAAUAUACCCUUAUUUCUAGGAAUCAGAACUUGGGUAUCCAACAUGAAAUAGCAUAAAGUUUAUUAUACCUUUUUCUACUUUUGAGAGGUUCAAGACUUUAACUUCGUUUCCCCCGAAUCUCACAAAAAUAUCAUUGAUUAGCUUUUUUAUCAUUUAUAUUUGGAUUGGAAAAUGCCCCUAGGGGGAAGGGGUUCCUAGAGUCCAGGCUCAAAUAACUUGAGAUUUGCAUGUUCUCUCUGACUUUGGUCCAGGGCUUUUGUAUCAGCUUUUUCAAUUCUUCAAGUUAAAGGUUUUUUUGUUAACAUAUACUUACCUAUUUACCCAGUCUUUACUGAAAAUAAAAUAUGCUGAUUUGAAAUAAGUAAAAGUAGAUAUCAGAGCUCCAGAAUAGUGGGAUAUGGUGACACCAAGGAUCCAAGGUAGUGUACAUAUCAGUUCAUAGGAGUUUAACCUGAUGAUUAGUAAAGACCAGUCCCUCAAUGUUCCUCAGACAACACCCUGACACUCUGUAAAUCCUCAGGGAAAAAGUUAGAGAAUAAUAUAAAAUUACCUGAGAAAAAUCCACUGUAGAAAUUAAACAUAUAUAAAGAAAAAAUAAAAUUAGUCCUCUAGGGAACCAUGAAACAUAUCUGGGCCCUAAUCUAUGCCUUGUGCCUCAGCAGAAGCAAAUCUGACUAGUAUCCAUGAAGAUGCAGGUUUGAUCCCUGGCCUUGCUCAGUGGGUUAAGGAUCAGGUAUUGCCAUGAGCUGUUGUGUAGGUCACAGACGCUGCUCAGAUCUGGCAUUGCUGUGACUGUGGUAUAGGCUGGCAGCUACAGCUCCAAUUCAACCCCUAGUCUGGGAAGGGAACUUCAAUAUGUCACAGGUGUGGCCCUAGAAAGAAAGAAAGAAAGAAAGAUGUUUUAUGAAUCUGUAAUUUAAUAAAGUUAGCAUUAGUUACAAGUCCUAGUUAUUUAAUCCUCUGUAUUUCAAGAAUUGUGGGAGUUCCCAUGGUGGUGCAGUGGUUAACAAAUCCAACUAGGAACCAUGAAGUUGUGGGUUCGAUCCCUGCCCUUGCUCAGUGGGCUGAGGAUCCGACGUUGCCGUGAGCUGUGGUGUGGGUUGCAGACAUGGCUCGGAUGCUGUGUUGCUGUGGCUCUGGUGUAGGCCGGUGGCUACAGCUCUGAUUGGACCCCUGGCCUGGGAACCUCCAUAUGCUGCAGGAGCAGCUCAAGAAA
rnacentral:lncRNA from 1 species